UAAAAGGGCAUCUGCUGUGAUUGGCAUAAUUGUGGCAGGGAAUUUCUAACACAAUAUAUUUGUAUUUUUCUUUAUCUUUUUUAUCCCCUUUUCUCCCAAUUUGGAAUGCCCAAUUCCCACUACUUAGUAGGUCCUCAUGGUGGCGCGGUUACUCACCUCAAUCUUGGUGGCGGAGGACAAAUUUCUAACACAAUUACAGAGUCGCUAUCAGGAGAUUUCGUACGCACAAUUUUUAUAGGCCA